rnacentral:rRNA from 1 species
CGGCGGACGGCUCAGGACGACGGUUGCACCCCCCGCGGCGGUCCCUGCUAGCCGGACACCGCUGGCAACCCGGCGCCAAGACGUGCGCGCAAGGGCGGGCGCCCGCGGGCGAGCAGCGUGACGCAGA